AGAAAGUCACGGCUAACUACGUGCCAGCAGCCGCGGUAAUACGUAGGUGGCAAGCGUUAUCCGGAUUUAUUGGGCGUAAAGAGAGUGCAGGCGGUUUUCUAAGUCUGAUGUGAAAGCCUUCGGCUUAACCGGAGAAGUGCAUCGGAAACUGGAUAACUUGAGUGCAGAAGAGGGUAGUGGAACUCCAUGUGUAGCGGUGGAAUGCGUAGAUAUAUGGAAGAACACCAGUGGCGAAGGCGGCUACCUGGUCUGCAACUGACGCUGAGACUCGAAAGCAUGGGUAGCGAACAGGAUUAGAUACCCUGGUAGUCCAUGCCGUAAACGAUGAGUGCUAGGUGUUGGAGGGUUUCCGCCCUUCAGUGCCGGAGCUAACGCAUUAAGCACUCCGCCUGGGGAGUACGACCGCAAGGUUGAAACUCAAAGGAAUUGACGGGGGCCCGCACAAGCGGUGGAGCAUGUGGUUUAAUUCGAAGCUACGCGAAGAACCUUACCAGGUCUUGACAUCUUGCGCCAACCCUAGAGAUAGGGCGUUUCCUUCGGGAACGCAAUGACAGGUGGUGCAUGGUCGUCGUCAGCUCGUGUCGUGAGAUGUUGGGUUAAGUCCCGCAACGAGCGCAACCCUUGUUACUAGUUGCCAGCAUUAAGUUGGGCACUCUAGUGAGACUGCCGGUGACAAACCGGAGGAAGGUGGGGACGACGUCAGAUCAUCAUGCCCCUUAUGACCUGGGCUACACACGUGCUACAAUGGACGGUACAACGAGUCGCGAACUCGCGAGGGCAAGCAAAUCUCUUAAAACCGUUCUCAGUUCGGACUGCAGGCUGCAACUCGCCUGCACGAAGUCGGAAUCGCUAGUAAUCGCGGAUCAGCAUGCCGCGGUGAAUACGUUCCCGGGCCUUGUACACACCGCCCGUCACACCAUGAGAGUUUGUAACACCCAAAGUCGGUGGGGUAACCUUUU
rnacentral:rRNA from 2 species